rnacentral:rRNA from 1 species
UAGGGAAUAUUGCUCAAUGGGGGGAAAACCCUGAAGCAGCAACGCCGCGUGGAGGAUGAAGGGUUUUCGGAUUGUAAACUCCUUUUGUUAGAGAAGAUAAUGACGGUAUCUAACGAAUAAGCACCGGCUAACUCCGUGCC